rnacentral:ncRNA from 25 species
CAAUCCGAGGAGCGCUGCAGGGCCGUCGAUCGACGGUUUCAGGCUCGGAUUCCUUAAACGGCGCUCAUCCGAC